CAAUGGAGGGACUCUGAUACAGCGCACGCCGCGUGAGUGAAGAAGUAUUUCCCNUAUGUAAAGCUCUAUCAGCAGGGNAAGAAAAUGACGGUACCUGNACUAAGAAGCACCGGCUAAAUACGUGCCAGCAGCCGCGGUAAUACGUAUGGUGCAAGCGUUAUCCGGAUUUACUGGGUGUAAAGGGAGCGCAGGCAGUGCGGCAAGUCUGAUGUGAAAGCCCGGGGCUCAACCCCGGUACUGCAUUGGAAACUGUCGUACUAGAGUGUCGGAGGGGUAAGCGGAAUUCCUAGUGUAGCGGUGAAAUGCGUAGAUAUUAGGAGGAACACCAGUGGCGAAGGCGGCUUACUGGACGAUAACUGACGCUGAGGCUCGAAAGCGUGGGGAGCAAACAGGAUUAGAUACCCUGGUAGUCCAAGGGCGAAUUC
rnacentral:rRNA from 1 species